CAAGUAGCUAGGACUACAGGCGCCCACUACCACGCCCAGGUAAUUUUUUUUUUUUUUUUUUUUAGUAGAGACGGGGUUUCACUAUAUUGGCCAAGCUGGUCUCGAACUCCUGACUUCAUGUGAUCCGCCCGCCUUGGCCUCCCAAAGUGCUGGGAUUACAGGCAUGAACCACUGUGCCCGGCCUAAGUUUCCCUUUUUUAUUUACCAGUCCUGAGCUGGGUUCACAACCUGAAUUAAGUCCUUGUUGUGCAAUUGUGUGAUGUUAUGACUUUGCUGAGCUUCAAUUUCCUCAUCUGUAAAAUGAGGAUAAUGUUGCAGCAUUCAGAGACAACAUAUAUAAGGCACCUAGCACAGAACCUGCCCACAGUAGGCCCUAAAUCAAUGGUAGUCAACAUCAAAUAAAGCUGAUUAACCAGCUUGAUUUGAAACUUAUUUCUACUUUAGAUAAUUUCACAAUAAGUCUGAGACAUGCUGUAACAAAUUUUCAUGCCUCUCCUUCAUAAACAUGAAUGACAUGAAUGAAGCAAAACGAACAUUUAGGCCUCGGUUUUCACAGAUAAAAGACUAGGUAGUGACCUCUAGUGGUAAACAGGCAAAAUGCCUAAAGGCGAUACAUUUUCUCCCUUACUUAGGAUUCAGCCUGAAAUUGAUCACAGAAGUGCAAUGUAAAGCUAUGAGAUCAAAUGUAAUUAAUACUUGGAUAAGAAUUUAGCCUUCAUGCCAUUCUGUAAAACAAUGAAAUAAAGGAAAAUGUCCUUGCCUUCUGUUAUGCCAAAAAUUGCAGUUUAAUCAUAUGAGUAACAAAAGAAUCGGGGCCAGGCAAAGUGGCUCAUACCUGUAAUCCCAGCACUUUGGGAGGCCAAGGCAGGCAAAUCACUUGAGCCCAGGAGUUUGAGACCAGCCUGGGCAACAUGUGAAACCCCGUUUCUACCAAAAAUACAAAAAUUAGCCUAGCCAGGCAUGAUGGCAUGUACCUGUGGUCUCAGCUACUUGGGAGGCUGAGGUAGGAGGAUUGCUUGAACCUGGGAGGUUGAGGCUGCAGUUAGCCAUGAUCACACCCCUGCACUCUAACCUGGGUGAAAGAGCAAGACCCUGUCUCAAAAAAAAAUCAGAGCCAGAAAAAAAUCAAAUUAUAUUUGAUUUUUUUGACAAAUAUGAGCUAUUUUGAUUCAUUUUUGCACAAAUGACCAGAUGUUACAUUAAAAUUUAUUUCAGUAGUACCUUAAGUGGAAUUAUAAACUUCUUUCCAAGUACAUAGAGUAGUUCAUAAUGGAUCAUUUUGCAGAAUUUCUGAUAGUGUCGUAAAAAGAAAAUGUGCUGUAGGAUCUUCACUGAUGACAUUGUCUAAGCACUAGUUAUUACUUACAGAGCUUGCCUUCACUGGACAUUAGCAGGGCUGGUUCCCAUCCAGCUUCUGAACUCUUACAAUCUCCAUUUCUGCCAACAUUACUGCUCGUGAAAUUCAAUCAGUACAGUAUAGGAUGGUGGUUAAGAGCAUGAACUCUGAAGCCAGACUGGGUUUAAAUCCCAGCUUUACCAUUUGUUGACUAUGAGAGAUUGAUGCCUCAGUUUCUUCAUCUAUAAAACAUCAGUGUUAAUACCAGCUACCUUAUAGGUGGUUCUCAUGGUGGAUUAAGCUAAUAUAUAGACAGUGAUUAGAACAGAGCCUGGAAUUAUUAUUGAGCAGAUGUUAUGCACCUAUACCAUUCUAGGGACUAUAGAGAAUGCAUCCAAAGCUGAAAAUCCAGGCCCUGUCCUCAAGAAUUUAUAGUUGACAUGGAAAGAUCUUGCUAGAGGAAUGGGCCUUCAUUCCACUUGUUGGUUUGCAGGAGGGGGACUUUUUUUUUUUUAAACAUAUGCCUGGCUUCUUAUGUCCCUAUUCUUGUUCCCCUGCAAGAUGUGGAGCAACUUUCUUGGAGUGAAGUGGCAUUGGGCGCAGUCCCACAAGGAAAAGGACACAUAUUUUUGAAUGCAGUUAGGAAGUAUGUUUGGCCCUUACUCUAUAGUAUAUCCUACAAUUUGCCUCCAUCAAUAAUAAAGGUAAUAACCUGGGUUCUGGGGGUCAACUACCGGUUAUGGUUCAUUUUUUUCAGAACUCAGCCAGAAGUGGCAAACUAUUUACUGAGGAGACACUUAGAGACCCCACAAAACACAAGAGCCAUUCAGCGCCAACUUCUAUGGUGUGAACCUACUAUAAAAGCAUUUCCAGAAAUGAGAAUUUGGUGUAGACUGAAGCAACAGGAAUUGAUUUCAUGGAAGUGGGACUUAAGCUGGUUCUUGAAGAAUGAGAUAGAAUUUGGAUGGGGAGAAGGAGGAAAAGCAAGAGCCCUUCUGCAAGCAAAGCAAUUUUUUUUGAAGUUUGUACUUCUAUGUAAUUGAAAUAUAUAAAAUAUUGAUUAAAAUUAGUUAUAUUCCUGUUUGAUGACACAUGGUGACCUAGCCAGGCUGUGGUGGAGAAAUAGAUGACAUAGGUCCUUGCUGCCUGAUUUUUUAGUAUUAUGUGACCCAAUUGCCAGGAAUGUUCUAAGCACUUUGCACAUAUUGAGUCACUUACUCCUCACAACAACUGUAUGACAUAGACAUCAUCUCCUCCACUUUACAACUGAGGUUACUGAAGCAUAGAGAGUAGUUAUCAGCCUAAUGUCACACUGCCAGUAAGAGACAGAACUAGGGUUCAAACCCAGGUAGUUUGACCUGCAUCCCAUUCUCUCUCAUCAUUCAGCUUUACGAUUUCUCAGUCCAAGGGAAGAAGUUGGGUGGUCUCUCUUGUGAAGGAAACCAGUGAAGAGACCAGAGUGAUGGCUUGGACUUUGGAGGCUGCCACAUAAAGCUGGGAGGUAGUGGGGGCUCAUCAAUGGAGGGUUUGGAAAGCCAAGCACAGGAACUUGGCUGUG
rnacentral:lncRNA from 10 species